GACUGUUGUUCAAUGUAAAGGAGAACUCCUAAUAAGAGAGCUACCCAAAGUCAGACUGGUAGUCUAGGAGUGCGAUGUGUUUCCUUUUCCAAUUCAGACAUGACCUGGGAUGAAGCACUGCAUUCAGAGGGAUGUUGAAUUGAAAGUCCUUCAAAGUCCUACCAACUAAACACUUUAUGAGCAUAUGAAUUGCCUAAGGACAUGUGAACUCAGGAGCAGCUCUGAAGUGCAAGGAGGUGAAAGAGCUGUGUGCUGUGUUACAGCUUCUUCUCCAGGCUGAGGAACUGGGUCUUGCCUAACUACAAGGGGCUAGCUGCCAAUCAGAACUUCCAGAAUAUCCAAGGCCGAGUAACCUUCUUUUAGGUGUCUCUCUGCCUUGUCUAUAUUGAGAUGAAAGGGCAGCAAGAAAAUCUGUAAACAUCCUAUUAAAGCCAGAACAUGACAUUUUAAGAACUUUCAUUUCACCACAGAGGUGAAAAAAGA
rnacentral:lncRNA from 1 species